rnacentral:lncRNA from 1 species
GGAGCAAAAAACACUGGCGACGCGUCUUCCCACGCGCCCCCGCCACUAGCGGCGCGUGGGUUCACGCGCCACCGAUGAGGCUGGAAACCAGUGGAUCGGGAGCGCCUUCUUCUUCUUUGUCUUCCUCCACCGGCGGUGAGGGUCACCGUCGCCUGCAACAAGAACAAAAACGCACAACAAGCAGUCGGUUUUAAUUAAUGUUUUAGAUUUGUUUUCCUCUGCUUUCCAUCGUUAUCUGCUUCACGUUCUUCUUGCUCCGGUCUGUUCUUGGGGCUUCGCCAUCUUCGCCUCUGCUUCAGGUGAUUGGGCGGCGGCUGGUGGAGAUCUGGAUCGAGCUGUGGCGGCUGCGGGUCGUCGCUGCUGGUUGAAGAAGGUGAGCAACUCUGACGGAUGAGGAAGGGAUGACGCCUGUGGGGGCUGUUGCUGUCGGCCGCUACUGGGUUCUUCGGUGGGAGGAGGUUGGUUGGUGAACGGUGCUGGAAAUGGCGGGGACUGUAGAGGCAACGACCAGCCUCUGUUUCUGGAUGAACCGAGAGAGGGAAAGUGUUUGUCGUGGCCUUGUGCCCAGGGGAGCUGGUUCGUGGCUGGGGAAGGAGCCGUUGCUGGCCAAGAGCUGCGGGCAAUGAGGGAGAAAGGAAUGGCCGACGAAGAAAAGGGUCGGAUCCGGUGGCUGUGUUUGGCCCCGGGUGAAGGAGAAGAAAAAAAAUCAAAGGGGGGCACUGGCGGCUUCUCUUGAAAAAAUGGGUUUAGGUUUAGGUUUUGUAUUUUUUCUGAUGUUAUCCAAAUUACCCCCUUCUUUUUGCAAGUGUUGGAAACCAGUAUUUAUAGGCAAAAAUGUUGCCAAGUUUUCAAACUUAGUCCCUCAAUUUCUUUCUUUUUUGUAAAUUUUGAUUUUUCUUAUUUUUUGAAAACGAGCAAUAUCAACGACGACUCAAUAAGGAAAAUCAAUGAUUUUAAAAAUGACGCGUGAAAAGUCGAACGCGUUUGAAAAUAUUUUAAAAAUUUAAAUUCUUUUUUAGACGACGUUGACAAUGCUAAAAUGACGAAAAUUUAUUAAAAAACAUAUUUUUUUGGAUUUUCUUUGUUUUUCUCUAUUUUUGAAAAUAUAUCAAACGCGUUCGACUUUUCACGCGUCAUUUUUAAAAUCAUUGAUUUUUCUUAUUGAGUCAACGUUGAUCGUUUUCAAAAAAUACAAAAAAAUAAGAAAAAUCAAAAUUUACAAAAAAGAAAGAAAUUGAGGGACCAAGUUUGAAAACUUGGCAAUAUGUUUUCCUAUAAAUACUGUUUUCCAACACUUGCAAAAAGAGGGGGCCAAUUUUGACAACAUCAGAAAAAAAUACAAAACCUAAACCCAUCUUUUUUUUCUUUCAAGAGGAGCCACCCCCCACCUUUUGGAUUUUUUUUCUUCAACCGAAACCGGCCAAACAAAGCCUCCAGCUUGAAUUUCUU